rnacentral:rRNA from 1 species
UUCGCAAUGCCCGAAAGGGUGACGAAGCGACGCCGCGCGUGGGAAGAAGGCCUUCGGGUUGUAAACCACUGUCGGGAGUUAAGAAAUGCAAGGAUAUGAAUAGUGUCUUUGCUUGACUAAGGCUCCGGAGGAAGCCACGGCUAACUCUGUGCCAGCAGCCGCGGUAAUACAGAGGCGGCAAGCGUUGUUCGGAAUUAUUGGGCGUAAAGAGCACGUAGGCGGCUAUGUAAGUCGGUUGUGAAAGCCUUCCGCUCAACGGGAGAACAGCAUCCGAUACUGCAUGGCUUGAGUGCGGGAGGGGAGAGUGGAACUUCUGGUGGAGCGGUGAAAUGCGUAGAUAUCAGAAGGAACGCCGGCGGCGAAAGCGGCUCUCUGGCCCAUAACUGACGCUGAGUGUGCGAAAGCUAGGGGAGCAAACGGGAUUAGAUACCCCGGUAGUCCUAGCCGUAAACGAUGGGCACUAAGUAGAGGGGUUUU